rnacentral:rRNA from 1 species
ACGGAAGGCAGCAGUGGGGAAUAUUGCACAAUGGGGGAAACCCUGAUGCAGCGACGCCGCGUGAGUGAAGAAGUUAUUCGUAAUGUAAAGCUCUAUCAGCAGGGAAGAAAAUGACGGUACCUGACUAAGAAGCCCCGGCUAACUACGUGCCAGCAGCCGCGGUAAUACGUAGGGGGCAAGCGUUAUCCGGAUUUACUGGGUGUAAAGGGAGCGUAGACGGCUUUGCAAGUCUGAUGUGAAAGGCAGGGGCUCAACUCCUGGACUGCAUUGGAAACUGCAGAGCUCGAGUGCCGGAGAGGUAAGCGGAAUUCCUAGUGUAGCGGUGAAAUGCGUAGAUAUUAGGAGGAACACCAGUGGCGAAGGCGGCUUACUGGACGGUAACUGACGUUGAGGCUCGAAAGCGUGGGGAGCAAACAGGAUUAGAUACCCUGGUA